UACGGAAGGCAGCAGUGGGGAAUAUUGCACAAUGGGCGCAAGCCUGAUGCAGCCAUGCCGCGUGUAUGAAGAAGGCCUUCGGGUUGUAAAGUACUUUCAGUCGUGAGGAAGGUGUUAAGGCUAAUAACCUUAGCAAUUGACGUUAGCGACAGAAGAAGCACCGGCUAACUCCGUGCCAGCAGCCGCGGUAAUACGGAGGGUGCGAGCGUUAAUCGGAAUUACUGGGCGUAAAGGGCACGCAGGCGGUUAAUUAAGUUGGAUGUGAAUCCCCGGGCUUAACCUGGGAAUGGCAUUCAAGACUGGUUAGCUAGAGUCUUGUAGAGGGGGUAGAAUUCCAUGUGUAGCGGUGAAAUGCGUAGAGAUGUGGAGGAAUACCGGUGGCGAAGGCGGCCCCUGGGACAAAGACUGACGCUCAUGUGCGAAAGCGUGGGGAGCAAACAGGAUUAGAUACC
rnacentral:rRNA from 1 species